rnacentral:misc_RNA from 1 species
CGCACAUUGCGCCCUUUGGCAUUCCAUCGGGCAUGCCUGUUCGAGCGUCAUUUCAAACCUCAAGCACCGCUUGGUGUUGGGCGCUUGUCCCGCCUUCGCGCGCGGACUCGCCUGAAAAGCAUUGGCAGCCGGCACCUCGACAUCCCGCACGCAGCACAACGCGCGAUGGGAGGCGUGGAGCCUGGCGUCCAGCAAGCAACCCCCAAGUUUGACCUCGGAUCAGGUAGGGAUACCCGCUGAACUUAA